rnacentral:rRNA from 1 species
AUGGCGCGCGAGGCGGCCCUGUGGCUUCUCCUGCUCUUGUCUGCUCACCUGCUCCUCCGACGUGCUUCGGCGAUCCAUCGCGGCCAGUUCCCUCCUCCAACGAGCUUCCUGUUUGGGACAUCCACCGCUGCCUACCAGAUUGAAGGUGGAUAUUUGGAGGGUAAGAAAAGCCUAAGUAAUUGGGAUGUCUACACCCACAAGCAAGGCACAAUUGAGGAUGGAAGCAAUGGUGAUAUUGCUGCUGAUCACUACCAUCGUUACAUGGAAGACAUCGAGUUGAUGCAUUCCUUGGGAGUGAACUCAUAUAGAUUCUCCAUAGCAUGGGCACGAAUUCUACCAAGAGGCCGAUUUGGACAUGUAAAUCCAGAUGGUGUAGCAUUCUACAAUGCCAUCAUCAAUGCUCUUCUGCACAAAGGCAUACAACCAUUUGUUACGAUAUUUCAUUACGACAUUCCACAUGAGCUUGAAGAGCGAUAUGGUGGAUGGUUGAGUCCAGAAAUCCAGAAGGACUUUGGUUACUUUGCAAACAUAUGCUUCAGGUUGUUUGGCGAUCGAGUGAAAUUCUGGCUUACAAUGAAUCAGCCUAACUUAUUGGCAAAAUUUUCUUAUUUGAAUGGAUGGUUCCCUCCUGGUCAUUGUUCGGAGCCGUUUGGGAAUUGUGCCUUUGGAAAUUCUUCAAUAGAGCCAUACAUAGCAGGUCACAAUAUGAUACUUUCACACGCAAACGUUGUGAGCAUUUACAGAAAUAACUAUCAGGAGAGACAAGGUGGAUAUAUUGGAAUUGCUGUCAGCGCAAGAUGGUAUGAACCAUUGCGAAAUACCACAAUCGACCAACUAGCAGUUGAACGGGCUAUAUCUUUCAAUGUUCCAUGGUUUCUGGACCCUAUAAUUCUUGGUGAUUAUCCUGCAGAGAUGCGCAAAAUCUUGGGUCCAACCCUACCUGAGUUCACAUUAAAGCAGAAGAAGAAACUACAUGCAACCAAACUGGAUUUUAUUGGACUAAAUCAUUAUUCGACAUGGUAUGUGAAGGACUGCAUCUUUUCACCAUGUGAAAUGGAUCCUAUGGAUGGGGAUGCGCGAGUGUUAAGUUUAGUAGAACGAGAUGGGGUGCCUAUCGGUAAAGAGACAGGAGCACCAUUCUUCUAUGAUGUUCCACAUGGGAUGGAAAAGGCGGUCAUGUAUUACAAACAAAGAUACAACAACACCCCAACAUAUAUUACAGAAAACGGUUAUGCUCAAGCAAGCAAUAGCAGCAUGACUGCUAAGGAUUUUACCGGUGACACAGAAAGAAUUGAUUACAUCAGUGGCUACCUCACUUAUUUAGUCUCGGCAAUAAGGAAAGGAGCUGACGUACGUGGUUACUUUGUGUGGUCUAUCCUUGACGACUUCGAGUGGACUUCAGGAUACAAGGACAGAUUCGGGCUCUACCAUGUCGACUUUAAGACGCAGAAGAGGACGCCGAAAUUAUCAGCUGAAUGGUUCAGGGAGUUCCUCAAAGGUUCACUUGUGUCGAGAGAGUUUCAAAAUGGAUCCCAGCUGCAGCAGUACUAUACUUCCUGA